CAAUCUGAAUCAAGGUCUCACUUCAAAAUCUGUAUAUCCUUUUUGUUGCAUUUCCCAUGGAUUAGAGAAGGAGAAUUUGAUGACUAACACUGAGGUGAAAGUAGAGUCUCAACUAAAGUCAGCGAUGGCAGCAAAAGGAGAUGAAUUUUGGGAGACAGGAAGGUAACAAAGGAACCUGCCAGGAUGUACAGAGGAUGAAGAGAGGAGUCACAAAUGACUGAAGUUCAAGCAUGAGUAUCUGAAGGAAUGGGGCAGUUUUUCAAGCAUAUGACAAGGCAAUCAUCCACCUGUGCUGAUCCGUACUGAAUGGAUGUGAAAUACAAAUGUGUAUGUACAUGUGUAAACUAAGGCCGACUAGAGAGAGGAAGGCAGACUGAAGAGAAGGAGUGCAGCAGCGAGGGAGGGAGGAAGUGGCUAACCCGAACGUCUCCCCAAGUUUCUCUGGCGCUCUGCUCCCUGUGAAUGAGAAGUGCUACAACACAGUAUUUAAGAACCCAGGUUCUACAGUCGGAGGACCUGGGUUGAAAUCUUGACUGUAAUUUACGCAUGUGUGACCUGGGGUGUCCCGUUAUUUACCCUCCUUGAGACUCAGUUUCCUCAUCUAAAAAACAAGGAUAACAGUCCCUCUAUCAAAUAAUUGUGAUGAACACUGAGAAAUAUGCAUGAAGCUCUAAGGACAUGGCCAGACACGAGAGUUCUCAAAACAGAUCCUUGAACCAUAACCAGUAUAUCUUACUUAACUAGGGCUGUUGUCUCACUUUUCUUUCCGAGGCACCAACCACCUAAACCAGUGCCUCAUUCAAUAUUUAUGAAACACCACAACUAUAUGCAGUUCAGUUUGAAGAUGAAACAAAUCCCAGUGACAAGGCUUCUCGGCUAAAACCCUGAGAUUUCAAACUCCUUCAUGCCACAAAACACGCAGGAUCUGUUAUGAUUAAGGCUCUACAGAGGGUAUUAUAAAUAUGGACAGGACCCCAGGGAAGCGGGGAGUCCAGGAAGGAAGGAGCUGCACAUUAUUAACAGUCAUAUAGAUAGGCUAGCGUUCAUGUCCUCAGCCUUUACAGCGUCAGAAUCGUCUGUGGAAUGUUCAAAAACAAACACGACAGAGCCCCAACUUAGAGACUCUCACUCCAUAGGCCUGGGGCGAGGUAUUGGGACUUUUAUUUUUAAAAAAUUCUCCAAGUGACUCGGAUGUACUACCGAAUCUGGAAACUACUGGGGUAAAAAGCAUGUCAAGUACUAGCAGUUUAGAAGAUAAAGAGAUUGCUUUCCGAGAGGAAGAGCAGAGGUCUAUGAAGAAGCCUUGA